UACGUAGGGUGCGAGCGUUAAUCGGAAUUACUGGGCGUAAAGCGUGCGCAGGCGGCUUUGCAAGACAGAUGUGAAAUCCCCGGGCUUAACCUGGGAACUGCAUUUGUGACUGCAAGGCUAGAGUUUGGCAGAGGGGGGUAGAAUUCCACGUGUAGCAGUGAAAUGCGUAGAGAUGUGGAGGAACACCGAUGGCGAAGGCAGCCCCCUGGGCCAACACUGACGCUCAGGCACGAAAGCGUGGGGAGCAAACAGG
rnacentral:rRNA from 1 species